CAAAAUAUUUAUCAUUCUUUGAAGCUUUGCAAGGGGGAAGGCUAAGACAUGGAUCAAAUUUUCGGAAACAAGCCGUGUGGACUCAAAUUAAGUGCGGAUGAAACCCUCUGAGGCUCUGACCAUAAAGGUAGGACAGAUGGGAAGCAGCAUUUCAGAGCGUAACGACAUGGUCCUGACUGCGGUAGGAUAGAUGGGAAGCAGCAUUUUCCAUCCUCCCGCGCCAGACCAACUUCGUCAUUUUCUGAUUGGUGUGAAGUGAGCACACAUUUGUUGAUCGUUAGUCUACCGCUUGUUUCCUGUUCUCUUCAUUACUUCCUUCCUGCCGUACCACUGGAUCGCGACAGUUACUGGAAGAUGAUGAACAAGUACAUAGGAUCAGAUGUAAUGUCAGUUAUUACACUUCUAAUCAUCAUCUUUGAGCCUUUGGGAAAAUGGCAGAGGUUUGUACUGAUGGACUAUGCCCUUAAGUUUCCCUCUAUACCAUGCUGGAACGUCUAGACCACAAGAGGAACAUAAAACAUUUUGAUGUUAGAGGUUCUCACAUCCUGAAGACACAAUACUUGCCAUAUGGUGUCAACCAAGAACUUUUUUGCUUUGGCUGUUGAAGAUAUCACAUUUUCUCAAUCUAUCUACCAGGAUGAACUCUUGCAUCUUGAUAGAUAAUCUUGCUAUUCUGAUGUCUGGUCAUGCAAACUUCCUUUUUUCAUUGAGAUUUAAAAAAUAAAUUGUGGAACAGGUGGGUGAAAGAAAGCAUGUUGUACCAGCUACAUUUUGCAUGG